AACGAACGCUGGCGGCGCGCCUAAUACAUGCAAGUCGAGCGAGAAGACGUAGCAAUACGUUUGUAAAGCGGCGAACGGGUGAGGGAAUACAUGGGUAACCUACCCGUCGAGUGGGGAAUAACUAGCCGAAAGGUUAGCUAAUACCGCGUACGCUCCUUGGAACUUCGGUUCAGGGAGGAAAAGCGAUACCGUGGGUAUCGCGCUCUUGGAUGGGGCUCAUGUCCUAUCCAGCUUGUUGGNGAGGUAACGGCUCACCAAGGCUUCGACGGGUAGCUGGUCUGAGAGGACAAU
rnacentral:rRNA from 1 species